rnacentral:rRNA from 1 species
UACGAAGGGGGCUAGCGUUGCUCGGAAUCACUGGGCGUAAAGCGCACGUAGGCGGCUUCUUAAGUCAGGGGUGAAAUCCUGGAGCUCAACUCCAGAACUGCCUUUGAUACUGGGAGGCUCGAGUCCGGAAGAGGUGAGUGGAACUGCGAGUGUAGAGGUGAAAUUCGUAGAUAUUCGCAAGAACACCAGUGGCGAAGGCGGCUUACUGGUCCGGUUCUGACGCUGAGGCGCGAAAGCGUGGGGAGCAAACAGG